rnacentral:tRNA from 1 species
GGGGAUAUAGCUCAGUUGGUAGAGUGCCUGCCUCGCAUGCACAAAGCACUGUGUUCAAUCCCCAGUAUCACCA